UACGUAGGGUGCAAGCGUUAAUCGGAAUUACUGGGCGUAAAGCGUGCGCAGGCGGUUGUGCAAGACAGAUGUGAAAUCCCCGGGCUUAACCUGGGAAUGGCAUUUGUGACUGCACGGCUAGAGUGUGUCAGAGGGGGGUAGAAUUCCACGUGUAGCAGUGAAAUGCGUAGAUAUGUGGAGGAACACCGAUGGCGAAGGCAGCCCCCUGGGUCAAGAUUGACGCUCAUGCACGAAAGCGUGGGGAGCAAACAGG
rnacentral:rRNA from 1 species